rnacentral:rRNA from 2 species
CUGGUGUCAGCCGCCGCGGUAAUACCAGCACCCCGAGUGGUCGGGACGAUUAUUGGGCCUAAAGCAUCCGUAGCCGGUACUGCAAGUCUUCCGUUAAAUCCACCUGCUCAACAGUUGGGCUGCGGGGGAUACUACAGCGCUAGGAGGCGGGAGAGGCAAGCGGUACUUAAUGGGUAGGGGUAAAAUCCACUGAUCCAUUGAAGACCACCAGUGGCGAAGGCGGCUUGCCAGAACGCGCUCGACGGUGAGGGAUGAAAGCUGGGGGAGCAAACCGGAUUAGAUACCCGGGUAGUCCCAGCUGUAAACGAUGCAGACUCGGUGAUGGGCUGGCCUUGUGCCAACCCAGUGCCGCAGGGAAGCCGUUAAGUCUGCCGCCUGGGGAGUACGGUCGCAAGACUGAAACUUAAAG